rnacentral:rRNA from 1 species
UACGUAGGGUGCAAGCGUUGUCCGGAAUUAUUGGGCGUAAAGAGCUUGUAGGCGGUUUGUCGCGUCUGCUGUGAAAUUUCGGGGCUCAACCCCGAACUUGCAGUGGGUACGGGCAGACUAGAGUGUGGUAGGGGAGACUGGAAUUCCUGGUGUAGCGGUGAAAUGCGCAGAUAUCAGGAGGAACACCGAUGGCGAAGGCAGGUCUCUGGGCCAUAACUGACGCUGAGACGCGAAAGCGUGGGGAGCAAACGGG